AAAUGAGCACAACAUUGCAAAUCAACUGUGCCUCAAUAAAACUUUAAAAAGUGAAAAAAGGCACAUUUUAGGGGAAAUGAAAGUAGUGAGAUGGAAAUGGGGGCGUUAAUGCCUUAACCUAUUCUAACACUUUUGCUCAUAAAUGCCAAGGAGAGACAAUGUAAGAGUGAUAGUCUAUGUGUGCUUGAAACAACAGAUGAGAAGGAAACCAAAAAGCCUUGAAGUUAAGUAAAAUUUGGAAUCGACUUUUAAAUUAAGUAUGUUCCAUGGGGGUUAAUGUUAUUUGAAAGCUGAAUAGCCCAUAUCAAAAAUAGAUUUCCCUUUCUCUCCAAAGUGUAGCAAAAAAUAACCACAUGCCUUUCUUGGACUCCUGACUCUCACCCCAAAGGGUUUUCUUGUAUAAGAACCAACAAUUCCUUGGAUGGAAACACUGGAUAGGCUAGUCAUUAUUUUGAGAUUCAGAAGAUUGCAGAUUCUUGGCAGAGCUCAGUUGUUUUUCUAGUAGUAGGCAAGUGGUUGGACAAAAAGCAAGAAGCGGAUCCAUGUUGCUGGCUUUGGAUUCUUUGAACAAAUGAGACAGACUGAAAAUUACACAGCCUCUUAGGGGGCCCUCAAUGGAGACAUGAUGGAUCACGUGACCACCUUUUCUUCCUGCUUCCCCACUUUGCUCCCUCCUGCCCUUGACUCCUGUCCUCUGGAUGCACUCUCCAAAAUAAUCUUCCUUUCCAAAACCCUUGUCACAGGCUCUGCUUUCUGCAAGGAACUUGGGGCAGGACAGCACGAUGAUACACUAGAAUGAAGGCGAAUUGUCUGUCUGUGAAUGGGCUUCAAAGAGAACUUGGGGAAACACCAGACCAGAGGCUCAUUGGAAUCAGAGCAUACAGAAUAGAAUGGACAGGCCCCCAUCCAGCUCUCACAAGUUCAAGUAUACGCUAACAAGUAUCUGAGUCUUCCACGAAGAACAGGAGGAGAAGCUCCCCCAGCCUGGUCAAGCCUUUUGAACAUCUGUAAAAGUACAUGUGACACGGAGAAGAAGCAGAGAACAAAAGAGCGUGUGGACAAACAUUCAGGAAUCCCAAUCGCAGGAGACUUUGGCCCUCUUUCUAGAUCUAAUUAUAAAACUGCAAAUGAUGCUGGCCUAUUCCAAGGAAGUUGUUGCUCUCACUCUAGAUGUGGUCUCUGGCGACAAGUAAAGGUGGGGAAGAUGGGGGCAGGGAGCGCCUCUUUGCUUCUGUCAUGAUCCAUUGUGAGCCAGUGUGGCCUUUCCAUCAGCCCGGUUGUUGGCUGCAUGCUCAGGAUUCUGAAAAAUCUAGUUACCUCCCUGUAUCUUUCUGUACCUGUAGAGAGUACAUCUGUAUGAUCUAGUCCAGUGGUUCUCAGAAUGUGGAUGAGACGACCUUUUGCUGAAGGCAGAUUUCCACAGGAGGGAGGUUAAGAAAGCCAAUUCUUGGGUUCCACCCCAGAUCUUCAGCAGUCUGUUCUGAUGAGCCUUCCAGGUGAUUCUGAAGCUGGCUUAAGUUUGCAAACCACUUCCCUGGGUCUCUUCCCUCUCAUCCUGGCUUUCAAGCUUAGGUGGGCUUCACCGUUGAUUCCAUACGCUGCCCAGAGAAUGGGCUCAGAAACAAAAGAUGUCUUUCUUUACCUCUUGAUAGCCAAGAGGUAAAUAAAGGGCUAGAACUGUGUAGGUAGCUACCUGGAUUACAGAGAGCUAUUUGCUGGACUUUGGAAGUCAGCUGUUUGGAAUGUGAGCUAUUUUCCUGGGAGUGGUGGUUAGGUUCCCAUAGCAUCAUAGUUAAUCCUGAAUCCAGCCAAAAUAUUGCUGUGUCACAAUGAAAUGGAGCAGAUCAUGAUGCUCCUGUAGUAUUAGAAACCAAUCAGAACAAAAUAAAGCAAUAAAUAAAACACAGGAAUAGUAUUUUAUUUAUGCCAGUACUGUGGUGGAAGGAAAGGUUGAUUUGGAGGUGGUGAAAAGGUAAAUGGGGAUUUGUCAAGAUUAUGACGGAGUGGCUGGCCUUUCCCUUUAGAAUGUCAUGGUACUAAGUUCUCUAGUUAGAUUUGUCUUGAAUGUGGUUCUGGCCUGUUACUUUAUCUUCUUCUGAAGUCAGAUUUCUCACUAGGAGGGAGGUAAAGAAUGCUGAGGCAAGUUGGCAAGAGUUGAAAAGGAGCAUGGAAAGAGUAAGGGACUAAAAGAGAAUGUGGGUUUGCUUUUCAUGAACACGAGCAUCAGCAGAGACAGGACUCACUUGAGUUGUGAGCGGUGAGAGAUGGCUGGGCCAAGAGAGGGUCAGCAUUCUUCGCUGACAAAAGAGAGGAAAGAAAGCAGACAAAAAAGCCGACCACAUCGCUCGGGAGCUGCUGUUCUGGAAGCGUUCCUGCCCCUCGUAUUGUCCUGAGAAUUGGCCCUCAACAGUCACCUUUCAUGUCAUCUUGCUCCUCUCUGGCCACAGAUGGGCAGCUGACCAGAGGCCUUGACAAUGACCACUGAUAUGGCAUAAGAAGAUGAGCUGGACCAAUCCAGCGUCCUCCCUUUUCCUUCUAGGCAUUUGAACUUGGAAAUACCCAGAAUGGUUGUUCGAUCUGUGAUGGGAAGAAGUACGUGGCUGUGAGCAUGUUACUUGUUUUCCAGUCAAAUGCUUCUAGCUUGCUUUCCUCUGGUGGCUAAAAUACUUUCUUCAGGGGUUCACCCUGCAUUUAUUCAGGAUUUUAUUUUUGUACCAUAAAAAUGAUCCUCGCUGACGGUUGCAUGGCUGGAUUUGGGGAAAUGUGGUAGCCCUAAUGGAAUUAAUUAAUUGAAUAAUAUUGCCUGACAAAUGGCUCUGUAUACCAAAGAGGGAUUGAGACCUAAUUACCGAUGUCAUUUAUCUCUCUAUUUGCACCCCAACAAUAAAUGACUCGUUUCUCAUUAA